AUUGAACGCUGGCGGCAGGCCUAACACAUGUCAGUCGAACGAGUGGCGGACGGGUGAGUAAUGUCUGGGAAACUGCCUGAUGGAGGGGGAUAACUCCUGGAAACGGUAGCUAAUACCGCAUACCAUCAGAUGUGCCCAAAUGGGAUUAGCUUGUUGGUGGGGUAACGGUUCACCAAGGCGACGAUCCCUCGCUGGUCUGAGAGGCUGACCAGCCACACUGGAACUGAGCGACGGUCCAGACUCCGACGGGAGGGUGCAGUGGGGAAUAUUGAACAAUGGGCGCAAGCCUGAUGCAGCCAUGCCGCGUGUAUGAAGAAGGCCUUCGGGUUGUAAAGUACUUUCAGCGGGGAGGCGUUACCCGCAGAAGAAGCACAGGCUAACUCCGUGCCAGCAGCCGCGGUAAUUC
rnacentral:rRNA from 1 species